UUCGGGAAUGAAGUUCUCCCAUGGGCAACCAAAACUGCUUUUAUGAGCUGAUGACUUCUGCGAUU
rnacentral:ncRNA from 1 species